rnacentral:rRNA from 1 species
AUUGAACGCUGGCGGCAGGCCUAACACAUGCAAGUCGAACGAGUGGAGGACGGGUUAGUAACGUCUGGGAAACUGCCUGAUGUAGGGGGAUAACUACUGGAAACGGCAGCUAAUACCGCAUACCAUCGGAUGUGCGCAGAUGGGAUUAGCUAGUAGGUGGGGUAAAGGCUCACCUCGGCGACGAUCCCUAGCUGGUCUGAGAGGAUGACCAGCCAGCCUGGGACUGGUACGCGGUCCAGACUCCUACGGGAGGCAUCAGUGGGGAGUAUUUCACAUUGGGCGCAAGCCUGAUGCAUCCAUGCCGCAUGUAUGAAGAAGGCCUUCGGGUUGUAAAGUACUUUCAGCGGGGAUGCGUUACCCGCAGAAGAAGCGCCGGCUGACUCCGUGCCAGCUGCCGCAGUAAUUC